UAACAGGAAGAGCAAGGCAUACACCUGCCAUUUUCGGGUGGAUAACAGGUGGCUCAUUCAGAAGGAUGGGGAUUGCAAGGUUCAAGCAGUAAGGGUGAGCACCGCCUGCCACCAGGCCAUUGUUUCAUCUCAUUCCACCUUCGGGGAAGCCUUGAACUAUUUCCUCUUUCUUGGUUCAGAGAGGUUCGCUAUAAAACCUAAAACUCGUCGCCCAGCACAAGAAAGAUGUGGCUGUCAAGGCACUUUGAAGCCAGGAGGAACGUAGGAAGCUGCCUUUACUUAAUAAGAGCAUUGGCUCAUCCAGCUAGAACUACCCACUCUGACUGGUAGUGACUGCCUGGAGAUGCCGGGAAUUGAACUCGGGACAUUCUGCAUGCAACAUUGA